rnacentral:rRNA from 1 species
AUUGAACGCUGGCGGAAUGCUUUACACAUGCAAGUCGAGCGGCAGCACGGGGGCAACCCUGGUGGCGAGCGGCGAACGGGUGAGUAAUACCUCUGAACAUGCCCAGUCGUGGGGGAUAACACUUCGAUAGAAGUUCUAAUCCUGCAUACGUCCUGAGGGGGCAAUCGGGGGAUCGCAAGACCUCUCGCGAUUGGAGUGGCCGAUGUCAGAUUAGCUAGUUGGUGGGGUAAAGGCCUACCAAGGCAACGAUCUGUAGCUGGUCUGAGAGGAUGAUCAGCCACACGGGGACUGAGAAACGGCAGAGACUCCUACGGGAGGCAGCAGUGGGGAAUUUUGGACAAGGGGGGCAAGCCGGAUCCAGCCAUUCCGCGGGAGUGAAGAAGGCCUUCGGGUUGGAAAGCGAUGUCGGCAGGAACGAAACGGUGAGCUCUAACAUAGCUUGCUAAUGACGGUACCGGAAGAAGAAGCACCGGCUAACUACGUG